AAGUAGCUCGUAAGGCCUCUGCAGA
rnacentral:piRNA from 1 species